GUUGCAACGAGAGUAAGCCCAUUGAAUCAGCAGUGAUAUGGGAGAAUUCUUGAACCAAUAUCUGGAUGAAAGUGAAGAAACCAAGCUCUAACACAGACAAGAUGCAGACUAUUCUUGACUUUUGACAAAGUGGAAGGAACAGAGAGGAACCAAUUAAAGCAUCUUUAUUAAGGAGGUCUAUCUACUGUCAUGCUCCAUACAAACAGUCUUGAAGGAUUCUGAGCAUCUCCCACCCAUCCUGUGCCUGAGGAUGGAGGUGAACCAACUGCUCCUGCAGAAUGACAACCCUCAAGGUGGCAAAAGGCUACAUCCCUCGACAGAAGCAGUACAGGUCCAGAAUCGGAUAAGGAGGAGGAAUGUCCUUCUAGGCCACAGAAGUGGUGCAGUACAAAGGAACAGGAUUGGCAGACUGGGCUCCAGAGGAAGUCUUGUUUAGUUAAGGGGAUGAGGGGAGUGCAUCUAGGAAACACCUGUUUUCCUCAGGAACAGUGUUCAAGUGUUAGCAGCUGAGUCCUGGAUGAGGCCCCAUCAGCCAGCAACGUAAGCCUCAAUGCUGGGACAGCAAGCCUGUAAAUGCUAGCCCCAUGCUUUAAAUCUUGCCUGUAAGGUAAAGGUUCCCCUUGACAUUUUAGUCAGUCGUGUACGACUCUAGGGGGCGGUGCUCA